rnacentral:rRNA from 1 species
AGAGUUUGAUCAUGGCUCAGGACGAACGCUGGCGGCGUGCCUAAUACAUGCAAGUCGAGCGAAUCUUUGGGAGCUUGCUCCCAUUGGUUAGCGGCGGACGGGUGAGUAACACGUGGGCAACCUGCCUGUAAGACUGGGAUAACUUCGGGAAACCGGAGCUAAUACCGGAUGCUACUUUGGAACUCCUGUUCCUUAGUUAA